rnacentral:lncRNA from 1 species
UCUUUGCAGAUGAUUCUUUUCCCAUUCUCAGGCAGUUUUCUUGUCUUUUCUUUUUUUUUUCUUUUUUUUUUUUUUUUUUUUUUUUUUGAGACUGAGUCUUGCUCUGUUGCCCAGGCUUUGCUCGAUCUCAGCUCACUGCAACCUCCACCUCCCGGGUUCAAGCGAUUCUCCUGCCUCAGCCUCCUGAGUAGCUGGGACUACAGGUGUGUGUCACUACACCAGGCUAAUUUUUGUAUUUUUAGUAGAGAUGGGGUUUCCCCAUGUUUGCCAGGAUGGUCUCUAUCUCCUGUCCUUGUGAUCCACCCACCUUGGCCUCCCAAAGUGAUGGGAUUACAGGUGUGAGCCACUGGGUCCUGCCUCUCAGGCAAUUUUCAUACCUGCAUACUCUGAUCACUAUUCUGUUAAACAGUCAAGGAGAGUAAGUAUUAUCUUCAGAUUUCCAGAGCUCUGUCUCUGUACAGCCCUCUCCUCCUCAAUAUUCUGCCCUAUGAAUUCUAGCCACAUUGGCUUUCCCAGACUCACAGUUCUGUCUUCUCAACUCAGGAAGAUCUCUGAGCUCCAUCUGCAUUCUUUCCUCCUGUGCUGUGGCCUGGAAAGUUUUACAAGGUGUUGGGGAGGUCAAUUGUGGGGCUAGCCUCAUUUGUUUCUCAUCUCUUGAGGAUCACUGCCCUUUGAUGCUCGAUUCCAGUGAUUGAUUCCCUUUGUUGCCUGAGGGCCAUAGUUUCAUAUAUUUUGUCCAGUAUUUUUGUUGUUUCAGGUCAGAAAGUAAUUUUGGUCUCUGUUACUCCAUCUUGGCCAGAAGUGUAAGACCUAAGCAUUUACACAUCAAAAUACUGCACACAUAAGUUUAGUUUAAGCUACUUUUUAAAAAAUCUCCUUCAUUUUCCAUUUAGCAUUCUAUUUAGGGUAUUACAUUGGUUUUUUGGAAAUUCUGUUAUUGGCAGUUUCUAUUGCCUAUCAAUCCCAUUUGAAGAUAGUGCAUAGGGUAUUCUAAAAUAGCUGUUAAGCAAAGAGAAAAUUGGGCCUGAUAGGGUGAGAAUCACAGCUCUAAUACCUAGAGUGACCUUAUAAUGUAUUGUCCAAAGGAGAUAUUUUUGACAGUGAAAGAGGGUGUUGUUAGUAAUUAUAUCAGGACCGUGGCCUAAACCAGGACUAUCCCAGGCAGCCUGGGACAUAUUUGUACCCCAUCUCUAUUUAAUGCCUUUAUACAAUUCUUUACUUAAUUCUACCAGCCUUUAUUGAGCCUGCUUUCUUUGUCUAGCUGAGUGCCACAUGCUGACAUCACUAAGAUCAAUACGGCAAACUCUGAAAGAUGGACAGAGAGACAGGAGAUGGUCCUUUAUAAUGCAGUGUGAUCUGUGCUGCAAUAGAGAUGGAAGAGUGUUCUGAUCGGCUGGAAAACAACGCACAUGGGAAGCUGUACGGAAAUGAGUGGGGAAAGUUUUGGAGGCUAGAAGUUCAAAACGAGGUGUUGGCAGCACCAUGCUCUCUCUGAAGAUGCUAGGAAGAAUCUGUUCCGUGCCUUUCCAUUCGCUUCUGGGGUUUCCUGCAAGCCCUGACAUUCCUCGGCUUGUAGAUGCAUCACCCCAGUUUCUGCCCCCAUCAUCACAUGGCCCCCUCUCUGGGUGUACGUCUGCGUUCCCUCUCCUCUCCUUCUAAGGACACCGACACCAAUCAUAGUAGAUUAAGGGUCCACUCCUAACCAAUUACAUCUGCAACAACGCUAUUUCCAAAUAAAGUCACAUUCUAAGA